AUUCUGAGGAGGAUAGAGUUUCUUCGCCAUCAUCUUCUGAAGUAUCAAGGAUCAAUUCAGACUCGGACGAAGAUGAUCCUGUGGCUCCUCUACAACCAAACGUUACCUAUUAUCGUUGUACAUUAUCUAGCCCUACUGUUGAAGGGCUGCAGGUUCACGAAAUACAACCGUAUUCUGUGGAUCCUCUACAACCAGACGUUGCUGCCCAUUUCCAUUUAGCUGUUUCUGGUAACGGAGAACUGCAGCUUCGUGAAAUAUGGCGGCUUAAUCGCGGUGAGUACCCCAGGACUGGUCAAAGGUAUCCACCAAUCUUGGUAACAGCUGAUGAGCCACAUUACAUGAUCCAGUGGUUAGAUGACUCAGGUUAUGUCUCCUACAUUGAUGUCAACAACAACGAGGUUUUCCUUUGAACACGGAGCAGAGAACAAUUUAAGGUUUCUUUUUUUCAUUAUAUAAAUUACAUUUGUAUUUGUAUAGCUUUAAAGUUAUUCAAUAAAUAAAUAAUUGGUUUUGCUUGAA